UAAGAAGCGAGGGUUUUAGGUACAUUUCUCUCGCUCUCAGAAGUUCAGGUCACUUCUAGAGAUCUAUAGCCACCAAACUCAAAAUGGUAAAGGGACGCCAAGGAGAACUAUAUGUAAGAGGAACCAUCCUCGGAUACAAGAGUGAGAGCUCAUAAGGCUACAAUUGAAGACUCAAGGAGAGAAAAUGCUCACGAGACAAUCCUUUGGUAAAGAUAUCAACAAGCUGAGAAAUAGUUGAGACAUGUCGAAGUUGAAUGGGCCCACGAGCAACUAACUCACAAAUGAAGUGCAAAUCGAUAUCACUAUGCAGAGUGCGAGCAUGAAACACUGGAUUAACAGCCAAGUACAGAGCAUACUAAUUGUUAUGAAACACAAGUGGAGAUGAGUGUAGCAGAAUAACAAACUCCUAUAGAAGAUAACAAAACCACUGAACAUCAACAAUUACAUGUGCAAGUGCCUGAUAUUUGGACUCUACACUAGAGUAGGAUAGAGUAGCCUGGGCAUUCCAACAAACAAGGUUGAGCCUAGGAAAAUACAACCACCAGUGAUAGAAUAGUAUCAAAUCAUAAUCAGAUUGAAUCAAAUCAAUUAGAAUUGGAUUCAGUCAUAAUCAGACAAAAUGAGAAAGCAUAUAUUAUUUAACAGCCUUGCUAGCAAUAAGUUUGGUUCAUUUAGAUUAAAUAAUGAUAGUAUGAUAAAUUUAGAUUGAUUUUUGUUUAAUGAGAUACUAAGAAAUCGAGUGGUUACCAGUUAGCCUCUGUUUGGAUAUGAGAUAAUGUUUUUUUAGUGAGUCGUGUUAUUGGUUUACAUUUU